rnacentral:rRNA from 1 species
CCUGGGCGCAGGCUACACAUGCAGUCGAGCGGUAGCACAGAAGAGCUUGCUCUUUGGGUGACGAGCGGCGGACGGGUGAGUAAUGUCUGGGAAACUGCCUGAUGGAGGGGGAUAACUACUGGAAACGGUAGCUAAUACCGCAUAACCUCGCAAGAGCAAAGAGGGGGACCUUCGGGCCUCUCGCCAUCAGAUGUGCCCAGAUGGGAUUAGCUAGUAGGUGAGGUAAUGGCUCACCUAGGCGACGAUCCCUAGCUGGUCUGAGAGGAUGACCAGCCACACUGGAACUGAGACACGGUCCAGACUCCUACGGGAGGCAGCAGUGGGGAAUAUUGCACAAUGGGCGCAAGCCUGAUGCAGCCAUGCCGCGUGUGUGAAGAAGGCCUUCGGGUUGUAAAGCACUUUCAGCGGGGAGGAAGGCGGUAAGGUUAAUAACCUUAUCGAUUGACGUUACCCGCAGAAGAAGCACCGGCUAACUCCGUGCCAGCAGCCGCGGUAAUACGGAGGGUGCAAGCGUUAAUCGGAAUGACUGGGCGUAAAGCGCACGCAGGCGGUCUGUUAAGUUGGAUGUGAAAUCCCCGGGCUUAACCUGGGAACUGCAUUCAAAACUGACAGGCUAGAGUCUUGUAGAGGGGGGUAGAAUUCCAGGUGUAGCGGUGAAAUGCGUAGAGAUCUGGAGGAAUACCGGUGGCGAAGGCGGCCCCCUGGACAAAGACUGACGCUCAGGUGCGAAAGCGUGGGGAGCAAACAGGAUUAGAUACCCUGGUAGUCCACGCUGUAAACGAUGUCGAUUUGGAGGUUGUGCCCUUGAGGCGUGGCUUCCGGAGCUAACGCGUUAAAUCGACCGCCUGGGGAGUACGGCCGCAAGGUUAAAACUCAAAUGAAUUGACGGGGGCCCGCACAAGCGGUGGAGCAUGUGGUUUAAUUCGAUGCAACGCGAAGAACCUUACCUACUCUUGACAUCCAGAGAACUUAGCAGAGAUGCUUUGGUGCCUUCGGGAACUCUGAGACAGGUGCUGCAUGGCUGUCGUCAGCUCGUGUUGUGAAAUGUUGGGUUAAGUCCCGCAACGAGCGCAACCCUUAUCCUUUGUUGCCAGCGAUUCGGUCGGGAACUCAAAGGAGACUGCCGGUGAUAAACCGGAGGAAGGUGGGGAUGACGUCAAGUCAUCAUGGCCCUUACGAGUAGGGCUACACACGUGCUACAAUGGCGUAUACAAAGAGAAGCGACCUCGCGAGAGCAAGCGGACCUCAUAAAGUACGUCGUAGUCCGGAUUGGAGUCUGCAACUCGACUCCAUGAAGUCGGAAUCGCUAGUAAUCGUAGAUCAGAAUGCUACGGUGAAUACGUUCCCGGGCCUUGUACACACAGCCGGUCACACCAUGGGAGUGGGUUGCAAAAGAAGUAGGUAGCUUAACCUUCGGGAGGGCGCUAC